GAUGAAAACGUAGUGAAAUGCGAUAAGUAAUGUGAAUUGCAGAAUUCAGUGAAUCAUCGAAUCUUUGAACGCACAUUGCGCCCGCCAGUAUUCUGGCGGGCAUGCCUGUUCGAGCGUCAUUUCAACCAUCAAGCCCCCGGCUUGUGUUGGGGACCUGCGGCUGCCGCAGGCCCUGAAAAGCAGUGGCGGGCUCGCUGUCACACCGAGCGUAGUAGCAUACAUCUCGCUCUGGGCGUGCUGCGGGUUCCGGCCGUUAAACCACCUUCAUAACCCAAGGUUGACCUCGGAUCAGGUAGGAAGACCCGCUGAACUUAAGCAUAUCAAUAAGCGGAGGA
rnacentral:misc_RNA from 1 species